rnacentral:rRNA from 1 species
AUACGGAGGGUACAAACGUUGUUCGGAAUUACUGGGCAUAAAGAGCACGUAGGCGGCCUACUUAGUCGGAUGUGAAAGCCCUCGGCUCAACCGAGGAACUGCACUCGAAACUGGUAGGCUUGAGGAUGGCAGGGGUAAGUGGAACUCCAGGUGGAACGGUGAAAUGUGUAGAUAUCUGGAGGAACACCGGUGGCGAAAGCGGCUUGCUGGACUAAUACUGACGCUGAGGAGCGAAAGCGUGGGGAGCGAACGGGAGUAGAAACCCCGGUAGUCC